rnacentral:rRNA from 1 species
AUGAACGCUGGCGGCGUGCCUAAUACAUGCAAGUCGAGCGAACAGACGAGGAGCUUGCUCCUCUGACGUUAGCGGCGGACGGGUGAGUAACACGUGGAUAACCUACCUAUAAGACUGGGAUAACUUCGGGAAACCGGAGCUAAUACCGGAUAAUAUAUUGAACCGCAUGGUUCAAUAGUGAAAGACGGUUUUGCUGUCACUUAUAGAUGGAUCCGCGCCGCAUUAGCUAGUUGGUAAGGUAACGGCUUACCAAGGCAACGAUGCGUAGCCGACCUGAGAGGGUGAUCGGCCACACUGGAACUGAGACACGGUCCAGACUCCUACGGGAGGCAGCAGUAGGGAAUCUUCCGCAAUGGGCGAAAGCUUGACGGAGCAACGCCGCGUGAGUGAUGAAGGUCUUCGGAUCGUAAAACUCUGUUAUUAGGGAAGAAUAAAUGUGUAAGUAACUAUGCACGUCUUGACGGUACCUAAUCAGAAAGCCACGGCUAACUACGUG